AGAGCGAACGCUGGCGGCAGGCCUAACACAUGCAAGUCGAGCGCCCGUAGCAAUACGGGAGCGGCAGACGGGAUAGUAACACGUGGGAACGCGCCCUUCGGUUCGGAAUAACUCAGGGAAACUUGAGCUAAUACCGAAUACGCCCUUACGGGGAAAGAUUUAUUGCCGAAGGAACGGCCCGCGUCCGAUUAGCUAGUUGGUGAGGUAAUGGCUCACCAAGGCUACGAUCGGUAGCUGGUCUGAGAGGAUGACCAGCACCACUGGGACUGAGACACGGCCCAGACUCCUACGGGAGGCAGCAGUGGGGAAUUUUCGGCAAUGGGGGCAACCCUGACCGAGCAACGCCGCGUGCAGGAUGACAGUCUUCGGAUUGUAAACUGCUUUUCUCGGGGACGAGUAAGGACGGUACCCGAGGAAGAAGCCCGGCUAACUACGUGCCAGCAGCCGC
rnacentral:rRNA from 1 species